UACGUAGGGGGCGAGCGUUGUCCGGAAUCAUUGGGCGUAAAGAGCGUGUAGGCGGUCCGGUAAGUCAGCUGUGAAAGUCAAGGGCUCAACCCUUGAAAGCCGGUUGAUACUGUCGGGCUAGAGUCCGGAAGAGGCGAGUGGAAUUCCUGGUGUAGCGGUGAAAUGCGCAGAUAUCAGGAGGAACACCAAUAGCGAAGGCAGCUCGCUGGGACGGUACUGACGCUAAGGCGCGAAAGCGUGGGGAGCGAACAGG
rnacentral:rRNA from 1 species